GUCUGCGCAGCUCUUGGGAGUCCUUGGAUUUUUAAAAAUUAUUGUUAGGUACCAAACAGCAAUGCAAAGGAAGCGGGAGAAGAGAAGUUAAAGCAGAGAGAUUAAAGGAAGCGGAGGGGGAGGCGUUACAGACGGAGGCAAAGCGCAAUCUUUCCAGUCUUACUGCGUUGGUUGGAGCUUGGAGAAGGAAGAGAAAGUCAUUGGGCGCGGGAAUCUGCCACUCAAAGGGAGGAACAGCGAAGGAACUUGCGAGGUCCGAUUUCCGUUGUAGCGACGGCGAGGCUUUGCUGAACCAGGCAGGAUCUCUGCGGUUUGCCAGGCAGCCCUUCCCUGUGGAGCUUUGCCAUCUUCGCAGGAAGGGAAGGAACUGCGUUGGUUUAUUUCUCCACGAAGAUGACUGAAAUCAGCCUGAAGUGCUGCCUGGGGGACUUUAGGGGCUGUGCAGCGUCCAGGCAAAGCACAUAAAACCGGGCGAGGCCGGGGGGGGGGGAAUUAUGAAUCGUGCGAGUGUUGCCAACAAGACCGGAAGAAAAGCAACCGGAUUUCUGCGUUUGUGUCCGAUUCCAUAUUUGAAAACUUAUUUGCAUUUAUGCGCAGAGAUUCCUCUCUUUUGUUUUUCACGGUAAUACGUAACUUACUGGGGGUUUUUAAAUAAUAAAACGUACGCAAAAACGUU